CUAAAGCAAAGGGGGCGUAUGAAAAAAGACAGAAAUUAUAUGACCAAAAGUGAAAAAUAUAUCGGAUUAAUAAGGCCGCCGUGCGUGAAAAGUGCCAAAAAUACUAAUAAUAAUACAAAAAGAUUCAAAGUCACAAAUAAUCUACCUACUUAAUAGCAGCUAAUUUUAGUGCUCCUUGCCGUUAAUCGCCCACUGCUGAGCAUCAUAGGCCUCCCUUCGUGUACACGUACGCCACUUAUCCCGGUCCUGAGCUAGUCUCAUCUAGAGGUGCCCCGCUGUUUUUCGAAUGUCGUCUACCCAACGAGCCAACGGAUGCCAAGCAGUUUUUUACACCGGAAGGCGACCACCAUUCUGUCAACAUUUUGUUCCACCUGCCAUCACUCUGCCUGACAACAUUUCCCGCCAUUUCAAUUUCGAAAUGACGUCACCCACGUCUCGCACCUUGGUGCGGCGUCGGAUCUCGACAUUCUUCACUCGAUCUUAAAGCUUAAUGCCGAGCAUGGUGCAAUUUAUGGCUCUCUGUACUACAUAUUUACAUAAUUAUAUAGACGGUCAGCUAAAUCUUUUCACUAAAAAAGGCGAAAAAUUUGAAAAAUGUAAGUUUCAGUGGGUCACUAUCAAGUUUACCUUAUCGCUAAACGUCUAUUUCGGCUAGAUGUCAGAAAAUUUAAAUAUACAGUCAGUAUAAAGCCAAUUCAGCUGGGAUGACAUGAAAGUAGAAUACUCAAUCAGCAAAAAGUAAAUUUAACUGGAUGGCUAAGACUUAGAAUGAAUGAGUAGCCAAACGUCUGGAAAUAUACAUAGUCCGUAUGAUUAGCAUAUCUAAAAAGCCAAAAGUGU